CCCUUAGAUGGUCUGGGCGGCCCGCGCACUACAUUGGCACUCUCAAUAAGUUCCUAGAUCUAAAACUUUGGGGUAUUCUAUUAAGUGGUGUCGUGACUGGGAUUAACCCUUGCAAUUAUUGGUUACGAACGAGGAAUUCCUUGUAAUCGCGGUUUAUCAGCCCGCGUUGAAUGCGUCCCUGCCCUUUGUACACACCGCCCGUCGCUCCUACCGAUGAAUCGUCCGGUGAAGUUCAUGGAGUGGUGGUUGUUCCAGCUGCUGUCGAAGUGAAAUGGACCUCACGAUUUAGAGGAAGGAGAAGUCGUAACA
rnacentral:rRNA from 1 species